rnacentral:tRNA from 1 species
UAGUAAUUAACUUAAUUGGUAAAGUGAAUCGCUUACAACGAUUAAAUUAGCAGUUCAAAUCUGUUAUUACUAA